UGGGGAAUAUUGGACAAUGGGCGCAAGCCUGAUCCAGUCAUGCCGCGUGAGUGAUGAAGGCCUUAGGGUUGUAAAGCUCUUUCGCCGGUGAAGAUAAUGACGGUAACCGGAGAAGAAGCCCCGGCUAACUUCGUGCCAGCAGCCGCGGUAAUACGAAGGGGGCUAGCGUUGCUCGGAAUCACUGGGCGUAAAGCGCACGUAGGCGGAUCGUUAAGUCAGGGGUGAAAUCCUGGAGCUCAACUCCAGAACUGCCCUUGAUACUGGCGAUCUCGAGUUCGAGAGAGGUUGGUGGAACUCCGAGUGUAGAGGUGAAAUUCGUAGAUAUUCGGAAGAACACCAGUGGCGAAGGCGGCCAACUGGCUCGAUACUGACGCUGAGGUGCGAAAGCGUGGGGAGCAAAACAGGAUUAGAUACCCUGGUAGUCCACGCCGUAAACGAUGGAUGCUAGCCGUUGGGGGGUUUACCUCUCAGUGGCGCAGUAACGCCUUAAGCAUCCCGCCUGGGGAGUACGGUCGCAAGAUUAAAACUCAAAUGAAUUGACGGGGUCAUAGCUGUUUCCU
rnacentral:rRNA from 1 species